rnacentral:sRNA from 1 species
UCAAAAAUAUUGUUUAAAAACACAAAUGUUUUCGCUUAAAAUUUUUAUCCAAAUAAGUUUAAUUUUUUUCUUAAUACUUUUUAACCUGGUUUUGUGGUUAAUUUUCCGUAAUUAAUUUUUAAUCGUAAUACUUAGUUUAACUUUGUUAUGUAGUAGUUUUAAACAUAAUUUUUGUCUUGAAUUAUUUUUUUUUCCUUUUUUAUGAAAACAUAUUAGCAUUAGUUUUUCUUUUUUGAAUUUCCGUUAACUUCUAACCUUCUAAACGUCGUCAUAUCAACAGAAGAGACAAGUAAAGUUGUUUUUAUAACGAUAUAAAUUUAAUUUUUAUUACCAAUUUGUUUUUGUUUUUCUGAAAUCAAAUAAAAAUGAAAAAAGCAUACACUCUGAAUAAUACAAAACACAUAACGUUAAUAGUUGAGAUAAAAUCAAAAAAAAAAACCUAUAAUAUAUAUACCAUGAAAACCAAAUCCCUUUCAAAAUAUCUAUAAAAUAUAUAUAUGGUGAGGUGAGACAUUAAAACACACACAGAGAAUUAGCAGCAGCAGCACAAGUUAAAAUGAGAGAACGCCGCGAGCCAGUUUAGCACGCGUCGCUUCCCCUCCUUUUGCUCUGCCUAAAAAAACAAAAACACCAUUCUUUAAGAUCAAAGAUCAUUUGAACGCUAAAUUGUUGUGUGGAAAAUAAGGUACAAAAUCACAAAUAUUGUCAAAAUGCAUUGAGAAAACAUGAGAAAGUUUUGCAUCAAAAUUCUUGCUAAAUAAGAGAAAACAGUGAGAGAGAGAUAGUGAUGAUGCAGUCCAAAUAUUUUUUAUAAUAAACAAUGAGUUUCUGAAUAGAGCGCCGGCCGCAUUUUAGCGCCUAAAUUCGUUUUUGCAAAAAUGGUGAAACAGAAAAACGCAAAUAUUUUAUGUCAAAUAGUUUCUCUACUAAACAAACAAACAUCUUAUCAUUGUUUUUAUAUAUAAUAUAUAUAAUGCAACAAAAUGCCUUUAAAAUUCUUAUAAUUAGACACAUGUGUAUGUAUUUAAAAAAAAAAAGAGCAAAUAAAAGUGAAAAAAAACAUAAAACAAUCAUCUCUUUUGGUUUCUCAUGUUGUGCUUGGAAGAGGCGGCGGCAAUCAUUAAAAGAUUUUCAUCUUUAUUUUCCCCAUAACAAUAAAUGUGUGUUCCAAAUUGAAAUCUGAAAUCUUAAUUUAAGAACGGCCAGAACAAACUAAUGGAUAUAAAUGCAAAAAUUUUCUACCAAAGCGAAAUCAUGCACAAGGUACGACUGUUGGCUCAAGCCAAACUUAAUACAUCUUUAACAUGGCGACGACACAAAAGGUAAGCCUUUCAAAGCCUAUAUUGAAGAAAAGUACGGGAUCAAAACAAUCGAUAAUGCCUGUUAAAUGUUUGUGAUAAGGUAACAUUGAGUUUGUUGCCAUGUGUUAAUUAUGUCCCACUUGAUAUAAAUCAAACCAUAAUAUAUUUUAUAGAUUUUCGUAUGUAA